rnacentral:rRNA from 1 species
AGUGAACGCUGGCGGUAGGCCUAACACAUGCAAGUUGAACGGCAGCACAGUAAGAGCUUGCUCUUACGGGUGGCGAGUGGCGGACGGGUGAGGAAUACAUCGGAAUCUACUUUUUCGUGGGGGAUAACGUAGGGAAACUUACGCUAAUACCGCAUACGACCUACGGGUGAAAGCAGGGGAUCUUCGGACCUUGCGCGAUUGAAUGAGCCGAUGUCGGAUUAGCUAGUUGGCGGGGUAAAGGCCCACCAAGGCGACGAUCCGUAGCUGGUCUGAGAGGAUGAUCAGCCACACUGGAACUGAGACGCGGUCCAGACUCCUACGGGAGGCAGCAGUGGGGAAUAUUGGACAAUGGGCGCAAGCCUGAUCCAGCCAUACCGCGUGGGUGAAGAAGGCCUUCGGGUUGUAAAGCCCUUUUGUUGGGAAAGAAAAGCAGCAGGUUAAUACCCCGCUGUUCUGACGGUACCCAAAGAAUAAGCACCGGCUAACUUCGUG